AAUAAGCUAAUAUACUCUUAAUGGGUUCAAUAACAAAUCAGGCAAAGUAUUUGAUGGAGCUCUCAAAAAAAAGUUCCAUCUGAUCCUGAUGGAACUGCUUAAAAUAUUUAUAAUGUAUUAAUGUGAUCCAAUUUAUUAUGUCUUGUUGGAUAAUCUAUUCUAAUCCACGAGGUGGCCGAGACUGACGCCGGAGAGCGUUCAUCAACCCAUAAGGAACACAGUCCUUGCAGCGAGCAACAGUGGCAGCAUGAACCAGUAGUGGAGGCAACGCCAGAAACAGUCAAACAGUCGUGACGCAUCGAUCUAGAUUAAGAAAACGAUCUAUAGCUCAGCGGUAUCGUAAGGCUAGUCUAGCGGAGGAUAUGGCAACGGUGGCAUCGGAGCGGCAGCUGCGAUCAGAAUCUCUUCACCAAUGGAGAUAUGGUGCGGCGCAUGAGAACUCUGAAGGAGGAUGAACCGGGUCGCACCGGUUGUGUACUUUCCCGGGUCGGGCCUUUGUUUGAUCUGGCCCAAGACCCAAAAAACAAUUUUCAGCGGCCAUAUUUGCAUCACGGGAAAUCAAGGCGAAGCUGACAGUGGUGCAGUAGAUCCUCGCCGUCGCCGAAGCUUCAAAUGGAAUACCUUCUGAAUCAAAUUUCUCUCCGAAUGCUUGCUCGGUAUCUUCCAUUAUUCACAAGAGAAAAUACUUUCAAAUUCCAAAAACACAAUAGCUGUCAAAUUGGGGAAUUAGCAUACUCAACAUCUGAAACAGAAAGAAUAUUUGUACAAAACUAAAUGUUAACAGUUUAUUAUUUGUGGAAGCAUUGACAUUUACUUGUGCUAUCGCUGCGAAACAUGAUCAUUAUUAAGCUUACUUGGAAUUCAUGUAAUUUGUU